AUUGAACGCUGGCGGCAUGCCUUACACAUGCAAGUCGAACGGCAGCACGGACUUCGGUCUGGUGGCGAGUGGCGAACGGGUGAGUAAUAUAUCGGAACAUACCCUAGAGUGGGGGAUAACGUAGCGAAAGUUACGCUAAUACCGCAUACGAACUAAGGUUGAAAGCGGGGGAUCUUCGGACCUCGUGCUCAUGGAGUGGCCGAUAUCUGAUUAGCUAGUUGGUGAGGUAAAGGCUCACCAAGGCGACGAUCAGUAGCUGGUUUGAGAGAACGACCAGCCACACUGGAACUGAGACACGGUCCAGACUCCUACGGGAGGCAGCAGUGGGGGAAUUUUGGACAAUGGGCGCAAGCCUGAUCCAGCAAUGCCGCGUGAGUGAAGAAGGCCU
rnacentral:rRNA from 1 species